AUUGAACGCUGGCGGCAUGCUUUACACAUGCAAGUCGAACGGUAACAGGCCUUCGGGUGCUGACGAGUGGCGAACGGGUGAGUAAUGCAUCGGAACGUGCCCAGAGGUGGGGGAUAACGCAGCGAAAGCUGUGCUAAUACCGCAUGUGAUCUGAGGAUGAAAGCGGGGGACCAGGCAGCAAUGUUUGGCCUCGCGCCUUUGGAGCGGCCGAUGUCAGAUAGGUAGUUGGUGGGGUAAAGGCCUACCAAGCCGACGAUCUGUAGCUGGUCUGAGGGGACGACCAGCCACACUGGGACUGAGACACGGCCCAGACUCCUACGGGAGGCAGCAGUGGGGAAUUUUGGACAAUGGGCGCAAGCCUGAUCCAGCAAUGCCGCGUGCGGGAAGAAGGCCUUCGGGUUGUAAACCGCUUUUGUACGGAACGAAAAGGCUCUGGCUAAUACCUGGGGCUGAUGACGGUACCGUAAGAAUAAGCACCGGCUAACUACGUG
rnacentral:rRNA from 1 species